rnacentral:rRNA from 1 species
UACGGAAGGGGCGAGCGUUGUUCGGAAUCAUUGGGCGUAAAGGGCGUGUAGGUGGUUCUGUAUGUCUACCGUGAAAGCGUACGGCUCAACCGUAUUUAGUCGGUAGAAACUGCAGGACUUGAGGCUGGGAGGGGCUGGUGGAAUUCCCCGUGUAGCGGUGAAAUGCGUAGAGAUGGGGGAGAACACUCGUGGCGAAGGCGGCCAGCUAGACCAGUUCUGACACUGAGGCGCGAUAGCGUGGGGAGCAAACAGG